rnacentral:rRNA from 1 species
GGGGAAUUUUGGACAAUGGGGGCAACCCUGAUCCAGCCAUGCCGCGUGAGUGAAGAAGGCCUUCGGGUUGUAAAGCUCUUUCGGACGGAAAGAAAACGGAUGGGUUAAUACCCUGUUCGGAUGACGGUACCGUCAUAAGAAGCACCGGCUAACUACGUGCCAGCAGCCGCGGUAAUACGUAGGGUGCGAGCGUUAAUCGGAAUUACUGGGCGUAAAGCGUGCGCAGGCGGUUGAUUAAGACAGGCGUGAAAUCCCCGGGCUUAACCUGGGAACUGCGCUUGUGACUGGUCGGCUAGAGUACGGCAGAGGGGGGUGGAAUUCUCGGUGUAGGGGUAAAAUCCGUAGAGAUCGAGAGGAAUACUCAUUGCGAAGGCGACCUGCUGGAACAUUACUGACGCUGAGGUGCGAAAGCGUGGGGAGCAAACA